GAUAAAAUUCUUAUAUCUCUAUUAUAGAGAUUUGGUGCAUGGAUUUAAGGAAGAAAAGAGAAGAAAGGGUUCUUCUCAUGAUCUCUAGCGUAGAGAUCAAUGUUCCUCUUACUUCUUCUUUUUCUCUAAGAUUGUCGUGAGAGAAAAGAAGAUUUUUAACUAUUAAGAUGCGAUCUCUGUAAGGAAGCUAGCACCAUGAUGAGACCAAAAAGCUUCUAAUCAGAUCAAAAUCUCGUAUGGAUAUCCAUAGAGGUCGGAUACUUGUGCGGCUACAAG
rnacentral:lncRNA from 1 species